rnacentral:rRNA from 1 species
UACAGAGGUCCCAAGCGUUGUUCGGAUUCAUUGGCGUAAAGGGUGCGUAGGCGGCGCGGUAAGUCGGGUGUGAAAUCUCGGAGCUUAACCAUCCGAACUGCAUUCGAUACUGCCGUGCUUGAGGACUGGAGAGGAGACUGGAAUUUACGGUGUAGCGGUGAAAUGCGUAGAUAUCGUAAGGAAGACCAGUGGCGAAGGCGGGUCUCUGGACAGUUCCUGACGCUGAGGCACGAAGGCCAGGGGAGCAAACGGG